ensembl:ncRNA F22A3.12 ncRNA
UAAGUAUUGGGCCACCGGUCAAACAGUGUGAAAAUAUAUAUCGGACGGGAGAUGGGGGUGCUUGUGGCGCAAGGUGAGAGUGCUCCGAGGAGCUGAGCCAGUUGUUUUGUUUGUUGCUCGCUCGGCUUGGCAGACAGAGA